UGUGGAACUAGCACAGAGCUAAGAACUCACAGGAGUCAAAACCAAAGACACCACAAAAGAAGGGUCAGGGACGGGGCCUGGGGGUGAAAGAGAGCAACAGGGUCCGCAGAGUUAAGAGUCAGGCCGUCUCUGAACGUCUAGGAAGCCUGGACGCGGAAGAGGCGGAGACCAGCAGGAGAAGGGGAGGGAGUUGAGAGGCAGAUUGGCCCAAGGCUGAACCGGGUUCCGAUCUCGGGGGCGGGGAACCCAGGGGCGCGGAGGCCACACCCAGGACCUGCUGCGCGCCCCGCGCUCUGGGGACCGUAGCCCCGAGCGGUGGGGGCGGGAAGGCAUGAGCGACCCUCUCGCCAGGACCAGGACCAGGACCCGGACCCGGGGAGGGGUGCGCGGGUCGCCCCCGCAGUCCGGAGCGGGCUGGGUCCUUUCUGCGCGACGUGGGGCUCCCGGCCCCUCCCCGGCUUCUGGAGCCCCAAAUCCUGAGCCCGCGGAGACGAGCGGAGGUCCGGGCGAGGAGCGGUCGGAGGAGCGGUCGGAGGGCCGGGCCCCGGGACGCUGGGCCGGAGAGCGGGACUGUGAGCCGUGGGUCCGAGAGAAAGUGCUCUUUCUGCUGCACCCCGAGAGGUGGCUGGGGACUCGAGGGGACGCUAAAUGGGACGAGGGGGCCGUUGGGGAGGUCCUACCCGAGACGAGCAGGGACGACGCCGGCCCGCAGCGGGACUGCGCGGGUCCUCGCUCCGCACUAGAAAGGCGCCAUCCCGGCGCACGGGCAGCUCCGGCUGCGCCCCCCAGGCCGCUGCUCGUGCGCGUCGUGGAUUACCAGGUGACGCGGGAGGUGCAGCGCACGGCGUGGACGAAGGGGCGCGCGACCACGAGGACGGAGGAGCGCUCGGUGACCGCGGUCACUUUCCGCACUGGAGGACCUGAUUCUCACCGAGCAGAGGAGCCCCAGAAAUGUUCCCGCCUGGGGGAUGAGCGAGACUCCGUAGAAGAAGAUGCUCUUCCGGGGACCCCAGGCUACAGCUGA
rnacentral:lncRNA from 1 species